UACAGGCCUGCGCCACCACGCCAGGCUGUUUUUGAUUCAUUUUCGUUUUUUGGCGGCCCUGUAAUUCUUAUGUGUGUGGAGGAAGGAACAAGACCUCAGAUGGCCAAAAAACUCGAAAAACAGAUCUGGCUGACUUCACAGCUUCCGCAGUCUCUACUAUUUAUUAGUUUGUAAGUGUCAAAUAUUUUUGAAACUCCUCCUCACUGUGUUUCUCUCUUUUUCUCGUGUGUUCCGUGUGUGCACAUGUGUAUGCACAUGCAGGUAUCCUCUUUUUAAGAGACCCAGAGUCCUGGUGUGAUAGAGCUGGACGGGGGAAGCAACGCUAGCAGAGAAGCUUCUGUCUCACGAGGCAGUCCUGGGCACGCCAUGACACUGACAUCAUUCCUAACAGAGUCCUCUACUGCUGACUUCUUGUAGUAACAGCUGACAUUUAUAAAGUGCCUGCCUGGAGUCAGACCCUUCAGGAAUCACCUCACUCAGUCCUUGCAAGGGUUGGGAAGACACAGAAGUCUCACAGUACUGGGCAUGGCCUGAAGACCACUGGUUUUCAUGAAAGAGAUGGAUGCUGAGACUUUCCACUGAGCUACACCCCCUGCCCGUACGGGGCUUGAACCUGUUCCUCUGGCCUUACCCUCCUAGAGGGCUGGAUUACAGACAUGCACCUCCACUCCUGGCUCCAGGUCCUUACAGAUGGAUUUGAUUAUUUUACUUCAAGCACCUAAAAGUUACCUAGCACUGCAGAUAUUCUAAGGAUGAAACAGGAGGCUCUGACGGGUUAUGUUUGGAGUACGGCUGACACCGAAAGGGACCUGGAGGAGGACCUACGGCAAUGGCUAAGGCUGGGACAGGCUCCUGAUUACAAAACACACCGACCUUCAAAGCAAGUGAGGAAGAAAAAUACAGGCACGGAAGGUAAGGGACAG